UCCUAAGUGGAAUGCAGCCACCAUCAAGGGUUUUGAAUACACCUGUGAGUCUUUGGGACUAACGCUAAUCCAUCAAUGACUAGCUUAGCUGCGGUGACCGCAUGCAGCUAAGGAUUCAUAUAUAAUUAAAUACGAGAAUUGUCGAGUUACUCAAAGGCAUAUUUGCUCUUGGCGGACGGCAAGCGCCUCGUCCUCCUCUCCCUGCCAACGCAAGCUUGUCCUAUUACCCAACUCCCGGUGACAUGUUGAAGUAACUGGAUUAGCAACCGUACCAUUUAAACAACUGAAUUUGAAAUUCUACUUCAUCUGCCCAAAGAAGGAAAGACCCUUUCCUCCUCCGUGACAGUGCAAAUGUGUCAAAGUUGACUUUUGCUUCGAGGAAAGAGGCACUAAGGAACGUGGCCCUACAUAUAUUUAUAAACUUUG